rnacentral:rRNA from 1 species
UACGUAGGGGGCGAGCGUUGUCCGGAUUUAUUGGGCGUAAAGAGCGUGUAGGCGGCCAGGUAGGUCUGCUGCGAAAACUCGAGGCUUAACCUCGAGCUGUCGGCGGGAAACCAUCUGGCUAGAGUCCGGAAGAGGAGAAUGGAAUUCCCGGUGUAGCGGUGAAAUCGCAGAUAUGGGAAGAACACCCGUGGCGAAGGCGGUUCUCUGG